UGCUGUGAUGUUGUAAUUUGCGUCUUAUCCGGUGUUCAGGGACAGUUGCCUGCUGUCUGCAUACUGUUGCCGUUGAACUGAAGACUCUUUAAGACUGAGCA